AACCAAGAAAAACGGUUGUCAAGCUUCAUUGCUCAGUUUUGUGAAAAAGUUAAAUUGUUGGAGGGGCAACAUUUUUAUCUAACAUACUAUACAUAUAUUUACAUAUUAAAAAUACUAAAACACACAUUUAUAUGAACGAGUAUGAAGUUUCAUAAUUUAAAUAAAUCAAAUAAUGAAUAUAAAUUAACUACUUUUUACAUAGUAAUGC